rnacentral:rRNA from 1 species
CUGGUUGAUCCUGCCAGUAGUCAUAUGCUUGUCUCAAAGAUUAAGCCAUGCAUGUCUAAGUAUAAGCCCUUGUACGGCGAAACUGCGAAUGGCUCAUUAAAACAGUUAUCGUUUACUGGAAAGUCAAAUACUACAUGGAUAACUGUAGUAAUUCUAGAGCUAAUACAUGCGUAAAUGUCCGACUUCACGGAAGGGCUGCGUUUAUUAGAUACAAAAACCAAUACGAGUUUCGGCUCGUUAUUCCGGUGAUUCAUAAUAACCAAGCGAAUCGCAUAGGCUUGCCUGGCGAUAGUUCUAUCAAGUUUCUGACCUAUCAGCUAUCGACGGUAGGGUAUUGGCCUACCGUGGCUAUGACGGGUAACGGAGAAUUAGGGUUCGAUUCCGGAGAGGGAGCCUGAGAAACGGCUACCACAUCUAAGGAUGGCAGCAGGCGCGCAAAUUACCCAAUCCUGACACAGGGAGGUAGUGACAAGAAAUAACAAUGCAGGGCUUCACAGUCUUGCAAUUGGAAUGAGUGGGUUUUAAAUCACCCCACGAGUAACAAUUGGAGGGCAAGUCUGGU